CAGCGCCGUUGUAACUUCGAACAGUCACUAAAUGAAAGGGUGUAGGCCUACCUAUAUUUUACUGUACCAACUGUGGGAAGUGCACCCCAAAAGACAGUGCCAGGAACCACUAAAGCAGUGCCAAAAGACUUAAGCCAGCCCUUCCCCCUUUAAAAAAACCAAGAAGCAGCAGCUAAAAGGAAAACUCAGAGCAGCCUCCUAAAGGCUGUUACAAAAGUAACAAAGCUGACCAAUAGAAACACUUAAGUAGAGCCAUUAAGAUAAGGGGAAUCAGGCUAAAAAUAAACUCUCCAAGGUAAAUCAAAAGUCCCUUUUUCCUGCCCCUGACAGGAUUAAAACCCUAAGGACAG